rnacentral:tRNA from 1 species
GCUGGGCUUUGGCUUAGCGGUAGAGCCCUUGCCUAGCACAUGCAAGGCCCUGGGCUCGAUCCUCAGCCCACCA